rnacentral:lncRNA from 1 species
UGAAAUUGAUGUAUAUUUUAAGAAAAUGUUGUAAAAAAUAAAUUGUGUCAUUAACUUGUAUCUUGAAAUUCAGAAAUGAAUGCUAAAUUUCUUUAAAAGAGGCUAGUUAAAAUUUUAAAAAUACCAACAAAAAAAUUGUCUAUUGAAAAAAAAGUGAGGUAUAAACUUUUAAAAGAUUAACAUGCACGAUUUAUAUAACAAAAAUUUUAUAUUUGAUUUACCAAC